UACGUAGGGGGCUAGCGUUGUCCGGAAUCAUUGGGCGUAAAGCGCGUGUAGGCGGUCCGGUAAGUCCGCUGUGAAAGUCGGGGGCUCAACCCUCGGAUGCCGGUGGAUACUGUCGGGCUUGAGUACGGAAGAGGCGAGUGGAAUUCCUGGUGUAGCGGUGAAAUGCGCAGAUAUCAGGAGGAACACCGGUGGCGAAGGCGGCAUCCUGGACCGGCAUUGACGCUGAGGAGCGAAAGCCAGGGGAGCAAACGGG
rnacentral:rRNA from 1 species